UGCCUCGCCGCUCUAAACCUGCGUGCGCGUUCGCGGCGGGCAGCCAUUGCUGGCGGGUCCUCGCUCGUGUGUGUUACUUCGCUCACGUUUUCUGCAUCUACCGCCAUCAGGGACCAGAGGCCAUGCCGGGCUGUUCUGAGGCCAGGUGGACAUCGAAACCGGGUGGAUGGACCCACAGCGUGGAAGGGCUGACCAAACUCCCCUGGAAGAUGUCCGGCCUCGAAGAUACAUCUUGAGCAGAAUAAGGAAGAAAAGACCAUUUUGUUUACUUGUUUAGUCUAGGAAACCCAAGGUGCGGGAGCUGGAAGAGACCUAAGAUGGCACAUGAGUGGUUAUCAGGCUGUUUUGUGGAACUUGUGAAGGGAUGAGGAAACAGACUAAGAAAGCCAUCUUGAAAGACGGAUGAGGUUUGAAGCCUGCUGUUCGCCUCACCUCUGGAAGGAGUCAGCCGUUCUGGUUCUUGCCCAGAGUUGCUGUAUCUCAAGACGGUGCUGUGUGUUUGGUGAAGUUGUCCCAGACUCCUUCAGUUUUUCAAUAAGGAAUCUGGCUGUGCCGAAGGUUAUUCUGACAUCUGAAUAUAAUAAACCAUGGAUAUUGGAGGCAGCUGGAGGAAAACACCUGCUAUCCAAGCUGUUGGGAGGUGGAAGCAAGAAGAUUGAGAGUUCAAGGCCAGCCUUGGCUACAAAAGGCCCAUUCUCCAAAACAAAUAAAUAAAUAA